CCUACGGGGGGCAGCAGUGAGGAAUAUUGGUCAAUGGACGAGAGUCUGAACCAGCCAAGUAGCGUGAAGGAUGACUGCCCUAUGGGUUGUAAACUUCUUUUAUAAAGGAAUAAAACGAGGCACGUGUGCCUUUUUGCAUGUACUUUAUGAAUAAGGAUCGGCUAACUCCGUGCCAGCCGCCGCGGUAAUACGGGGGAUCCGAGCGUUAUCCGGAUUUAUUGGGUUUAAAGGGAGCGUAGAUGGGUUGUUAAGUCAGUUGUGAAAGUUUGCGGGUCAACCGUAAAAUUGCAAUUGAUACUGGCAGUCUUGAGUACAGUUGAGGUAUGCGGAAUGCGUGGUGUAGCGGUGAAAUGCUUAGAUAUCACGAAGAACCCCGAUUGCGAAGGCAGCUUACUAAACUGUGACUGACAUUGAUGCUCGAAAGUGUGGGUAUCAAACAGUAUUAGAUACCCCUGUAGUC
rnacentral:rRNA from 1 species